rnacentral:rRNA from 1 species
GUGGGGAAUAUUGGACAAUGGGCGAAAGCCUGAUCCAGCCAUGCCGCGUGUGUGAAGAAGGUCUUCGGAUUGUAAAGCACUUUAAGUUGGGAGGAAGGGCAGUAAGUUAAUACCUUGCUGUUUUGACGUUACCGACAGAAUAAGCACCGGCUAACUUCGUGCCAGCAGCCGCGGUAAUACGAAGGGUGCAAGCGUUAAUCGGAAUUACUGGGCGUAAAGCGCGCGUAGGUGGUUUUGUAAGAUGGAGGUGAAAUCCCCGGGCUCAACCUGGGAACUGCCUCCAAAACUGCAUGACUAGAGUACGGUAGAGGGUAGUGGAAUUUCCUGUGUAGCGGUGAAAUGCGUAGAUAUAGGAAGGAACACCAGUGGCGAAGGCGACUACCUGGACUGAUACUGACACUGAGGUGCGAAAGCGUGGGGAGCAAACAGGAUUAGAUACCCGAGUAGUCC